CACCAUCAAGAAGGAUGAGAUAACUUCUGUACUUUUUCAAAAUGAGAUUCUCAGAUGGAAGAAUUGAGCUUCAAGUUCAGAUGGUGACUCAGUUAUGACGGUGACUGGAGGUGGUGGUGAUAAAGGAUAAAGGGGCAGAAGAUCAUAAGGUGGGCAGUCUAGAUCCAAGUCAAGGGACUACAGCAAGAUCAGAUAUUACAGGUGUGAUGAGUUGGGACAUCGAGUCAAAGAUUAUCCACAACUUAGAGAUUAGACAAAGACUACUGUGGUGACGGUCAAAGAUAGCGAUACAGAAGAAAGUGAUGAUGUUCUUUUAGUGUCUGAUGAGGUAUCUACUUCUUUCCCAUAGUGAAUUUUAGAUUCUACAUGUCGCAUCAUAUUUGUUAUGAAGAGAUGCUGUUUGACUUCUUAGAGAG
rnacentral:lncRNA from 1 species